AUGGUGUCAUGGAAUGACGGCGAGACGAGCUCGGAUUCGGUGUUGCCGCUACCAGACGAGGUCGAUGAGGAACCACACCGCCCAACAACAAUAGAGGACAAGGAUUGGUCAGGCAUUGAUGCCACUGGAAAGCACCUUUGCAAGGAUGGGAAUGCUCCUGAGAGGCUUGUUGUGUUCGAUGGGCUGAACACUGGCCGUAGAUUUUAUGGUUGCACCGAGAAGGAGGGUAAUAAUUGUGGUGUUGUGGAAUGGGUGGACAAUGAAUGGCCUUAUGCACUAAAGAAUUCAUUGACAAAACUCUGGGCUUUGUAUAAGGAAGCCAAGGCAGUCAGAAUUAGAGAUAAUUUAACUAAUGAGGAGAAGAUCUCCAAGUUAGAAGCAGAAAUGAAGAUGUUAUAG
rnacentral:rRNA from 1 species